UUAACUUAUUAUAUAUUACUCAGACGACAAUAUUCAGAGUUUAGGGGUCUCUGGCGGGCGCGAGCCAGCUCACGCCGGCAGCCGCGAGGCAGGCCCGCCAAAGCAACAAAGUAUAAUAAACAAAGGGUGGGAGAUCUACCCAAAGGGCAGGUUCUCUUUAGUGAUCCUUCCGCAGGUUCCGAGUCUCUGCAGCCGGUGAGGGUGCAGUCCGAUCAUAUCUUAACCCCAGGCGGGGGGCCACAUCUAUUUGACCUGUGAACCCAAUUGCUCGGGCUGCUGGUAGCACAUCAGUGGUUUCCAGCACAGUAGAAGUGUAGCCAGCAGUGCUGACUCUCUGGUUUGGUAGGCGAACCACCUACGGAAA
rnacentral:misc_RNA from 1 species